rnacentral:rRNA from 1 species
UCGAGUCUUCGGACUUGGGUGGCGCACGGGUGAGUAACGCGUAAAGAACUUGCCUCUUAGACCGGGACAACAUCUGGAAACGGAUGCUAAUACCGGAUAUUAUGGUUUUUUCGCAUGGAGGAAUCAUGAAAGCUAGAUGCGCUAAGAGAGAGCUUUGCGUCCCAUUAGCUAGUUGGUGAGGUAACGGCCCACCAAGGCAAUGAUGGGUAGCCGGCCUGAGAGGGUGAACGGCCACAAGGGGACUGAGACACGGCCCUUACUCCUACGGGAGGCAGCAGUGGGGAAUAUUGGACAAUGGACCACAAGUCUGAUCCAGCAAUUCUGUGUGCACGAUGACGUUUUUCGGAAUGUAAAAGUGCUUUCAGUCGGGAAGAAGUCAGUGACGGUACCGACAGAAGAAGCGACGGCUAAAUACGUGCCAGCAGCCGCGGUAAUACGUAUGUCGCAAGCGUUAUCCGGAUUUAUUGGGCGUAAAGCGCGUCUAGGCGGCAAGGAAAGUCUGAUGUGAAAAUGCGGAGCUCAACUCCGUAUGGCGUUGGAAACUGCCUUACUAGAGUACUGGAGAGGUAGGCGGAACUACAAGUGUAGAGGUGAAAUUCGUAGAUAUUUGUAGGAAUGCCGAUGGGGAAGCCAGCCU